UUCUAGUUUUUACAGCUUUGUGCGAUUGGUCUGACAACCUUUCAAACGCGCUAACAAAAACAAACACGGCUGUUUUUACUCGAUGGGUGUUGCGUAAAGCAUCCUAAAAACCAACAUUCAGAAAUCCCAUGUCAAUGAGGACAGGGCCUGAACUCAUCGGGGGAUGUGGACAGUGAGCGGUAAAGGGUCAGAUAACCCACAGAGAAGGAGGGGGGGGGGGGGGGGAGGAUCUAUUCCAGUGGAGAGAGAAAGGUCACAGUGUAAGCUGAUAAAGGCGGGAGGCAGAGCUCCAGGCCAGCUAGUCAGCUGACGCCUGCAGCUGUGUUUGAAACAUCAAUAUGAGCCUUGUUCAGCCUCUCCCCUUUCCCUCGCAAGCCGCCCACCCCCACUCGGCAUCCCCUCUCGCAGCUCGUCCCUCCUUUCCUCUCACACUAUUUCCUUUUCAUCCGGCUCUGAUUUAUGAAAGUAGGGCAUGUGCCCAUAACUGCUGCAUCAAGGAACAUGGCUGAGCCUCCAGAGGCACUAAAGCAUCUGUUUACGGCAGCCCAGACAACUGCGGCAACAUUGCACAAUCGCCACAGGCAAGCCGAGUUAUAUAAAGCCUGGGCGCUAUUGUUUUUGGUUUUCUGCUUUCACCACCUGUAAUUCCUACCCAAACGCGGUGCUCGCUCUCAUCUUUGGCAUGCAACUUUUACGCAACCCUUUCUUUUCCUGAGCUCCAGGUGUCAAAUUUCUAAUUUCCCAGGCCGUUGUUUUGUUUGGAUCAAAGAGCAGGGGAAAGGUUGCAGGAAAUUCAAUAGAUGGGUUGUUUUGUGUUGCCUUUUUUUCCCCCUGUUGUUUUCCACUAUGUCACUCACUCCCGCACUGGAUUUCAGUGGGCUUUGUGCUGGCUUUUUAUUGUGGAGGAGUACUGGAGCAUGAGGAUCAUAUAACAAAGACGGCGAGCAAAUGCUGUGACUUGAGCCUACGAGCAUGUUUGGGGGAUGACAAUUAGUCCCACACGGAGCGACGACGCACAUCACGGCCUGUGUUUCCAUGGCAUCAAAUCAGCACGCUCGGGUGGGGCCACCGAGUGCAGCUGCAUUCCGGAGCCUCCUGGACUACAAGGACGCAUUCUCGUUUUGAGCCAGGGGGCUUCAACGCUGGAGUGUUCUCCAUAUUUCUCUGCACUGCCCAUGAAUCACGGCAAGCGCGGUGCCCUCGCUGCGGUUGUGCCGGGGGCGGGGUCGAUGCGGCCAUACACGACAAGCUGCAAUUAUUACUAGCAAUUUCGAAUGGUGUUGACUGCAUCAGCUGCAGGUGGUUGAUGUUUGAAAACAAUUGUGCUUCCAUAUAAAUGCUAAAUAUAUGCUCUCCCGUGAUAAGUAUGGGACUGUGCAAGUACAUUUUUAGAUAGCUUAGCUGUCCUGACAUGCAUAUGGGAUAUUUUUUCCGCAGGUUUGUAUGAAAUAGUGACGAUAGUGUGAAAAUAGGUCAUUGUUUCCACAUGACCUCUGUCUAAAAGAAAUGCAUGUGCCUGAACAAUGUUGUGAGGCUUUUGUCUACAGAAAACAAGUGUCUUCAAUGAAAAUGGCGCAUCUUGCUCUUCCCUAACAAGGAGGUUUUCCAUACAUUAACAGCCCAAUAAAUGUCCUGGUCCAAUUAAAAUUGGUAUCAAAACUAAAUCACCAUGCUGUCACAUCGUAACAAGCACAUCAGACUGUAAAGUGAGUAAGAUGCCGAUUGCUAGUAUGCAGUCAAUUCCUUUUCUAAGUUUAGACUUUGUAAUGGCCACAGCAUUUAUAUUCUCUAGCAGUAAGGCACAGCCUGAAAAAGAGGAAAAUAAAAUGCAUUUUCAGCAUGAGGCAAUAAUUGAAACGCCUUUUUUUCAUUUUUAUUAUCCAGUGUGCUAUUUUGACCUCAUGCUCGCUGCGCUUUUGUUCACAAUCUUUGUACAAUUCGUCCUAUCCUUGGCUCACCAUAUUCCCACUCACUUCCUUCCCAGAGCCCACGCUUCUCGCCUCCUCUCUUCAUAUCUCAGCUGUUACUUGGCAACAUGGUCCCAGCUGGAACAGAAGUAGCCACAUUGCCAUGGCAACAAAAGACACACAUGCAGACGUGGUAAACACCUUUUUUUUUUAGACCCCGCCGUGCACAUGAAAGGCAAGUGUGUGUUGAGAUUUAAAAUCCAGAAUAAGCACUUGUCAAUCCACUGCUUAUACCUAAAAUGGGAACAGUUGAUUAGUUUUGCCAAUUUUUCAAAGCUUGACUGAUGGUUUUUGCACACUAAUUCCUCACUGUGAUUGAACAUCCAUUCAGCUGGAUAAAGCUACCUUCCAAUAUAUUUGUCAUUUAUCCACCACGUCGUGCUCUUACAAUUCCAAUUCUAAGCACUCACAAGCUGAGUGCUCAGUUCUGGGAAGUAGACCUCUUUUCUCCGUGCCCUGAGUAAGACUGCAUCUGUCGUCAUAGCAACCGUAUCCAUCAUCUGCAGGGGAUCAAUUGAUUCAUUAUUGAGUGAGGCGUAGCCUCCCUUCUCUGCUUCCAGUUCACGUCUACUUACUCCCGUCUUCCAGCAUCCAUUAUUGAAGUGAAAGCCUGCCCACUCACUGGGAUGGAAAAGAAAAAGCUGUCAGGUCUCCCUUGUGGAAAUAUGACUCGUAUCAUACAUUUCCCCUGGAAAGCAUUUAUAUUGUUGCCUCAGAAGGUACAGAAUAGUCUAUUAACAGACUACAGUAUACAGUCUGUACUGUACAUCUACAAAAGGACGCAUAUAACAUAUCAAGGCCUUAUUUGAGAAGCAGUUUUGCUAAUCAAUGCCUUCAUUUGUAAAGCAACUUUCUAAUGCUGACUUUUCUUGACAGGUAGCCAUGUGAAGAAAAGUGUGUGGAGGAAACCAUUUAACGCCGCAGGGGAAGACAUGCUUUGAUGCAAUGCUAUCUUAUUUUUACUGCAUGCAGCUGCACACCAAAGUAGAACUUGGAGGGGCAGUUUGUAGGGAGGAGGAAAAGACAAAUGUAUAUGAUUGGAAAACGUGUGCUAAAUGGAUGAUGUCAGCUCUUUGCACUUUGACAUUUUAAUGUGCUCUCUGAGGGAAUUACAUCAUUAGCCCUCCUUUCCGAGCCCGGCCGGCUCAAUGAUGGGAAACCUCCUAAUGGAUGUCAAAAAUGUUGUCCCAAUGGAAGAAUGGUGCAUGUGCGUGUGAUGAAGUUGGUGGGCUUUCACAGAGCUCCAUAGUGAGAUGCCUUGAAUCAUCAGCUGGACUAAAAGCCUCCAUAGAGCACUAACUCAGUCUGCAUCGAGACAAAGUGGAAUCUUUUCCCGCCGACAAGCCGGCAUAACCCCAUGUGUAAUGACUUGUUGUAUUAAUUGUUUCAUGAAUUCAUAAUUAUACCAAAUUGGCAGCAAGUGCAUCUCAACUUUUUUAAUUAGAAAAGCUGUUGGCUGCAGAAUCUACUUUAGAAGUGACCGACUCAUUAAUCAGCAGAGUGCGCGUGGAAAUGAAAAUAUGAACGAAUGCAGCCGUUAUGAAUGAAGGUAAACAGUGAAGCGCCUCUGAAGCAAAACCUUCAAACGGUGUAGAAGAUGGAUUUCAGCCAAACUAAACUCAUGAAUUCAAAUACUCAAAAAUAAUUGUGUGAUUUGCACAUACGGAUUUGUAUGGGGGCUUUUUCUAUUUAAAUAUAUUGAAGAUAUAAUAAUAUAUAAUAUUAUAUAUAAAUAGUGAGGACCCCUUUUGCUGCCUUCUAUUCCAUCAGGAAAAAUAUGGAUACAUUUAUGCAUUUAAAAAAAAAAAAAAGCUGGACGUAAAUAAACGGCGCGCUUUGAACACAAGUAUGGGUUGCUCAUAUCUUAGGCGUGCAACCAUCACAGAUUGCGUAAAUAUACUGCAAGCAAAAUAGGAAGCAGAUCAAAGCUUGUUGUAAAAUAGGUCAAAUGGUGGAUAUUCAUGUUCUCCAUCCCCACUGGGAACAUGUUUCUGUCAAUAGAAAAAGAAUAUCAAGCAGUGGGGACAGAAAUGUGAUGGAAUGAGGGCUGAGAAUGUUUCUUCAAUUUGUGCACGCACGCACUGUGCCAAUGUGUUCAACGGGCUGAUGCCCUGAGGGGGAUUUUGGUGGCGAGUGAGAAGCAGAGCCGAAGGAUAGGAAAGAGCAGCUUAGGUUCACUGAACAAUUGCAAGCCUGACCGCCAUUUCAAUUGGAUCGGUGGGCCGAACAAAAUCAUAUUUCCAGCAGGACACAAAGGGUCCGAAGAAGCGGCGUACUCGUGGCAUGAGAAUGAGAUGUAGCGCACGAUGUCCCUCUCUAUUCUCCGCAUCAUCCUCUUGACGACUUUCAUUUGAGCGGCAAAGCCUGACUUGCCACUGUUAUCUCACUGCCUAUGAGAGCCUGUAAUCUCCCUCCCCAGUUUGUGGAGAAAAGCAGAUUUAAUGUGACAAAUCCAAGGCCCCAAAUGACAAAUAAAUCGGGAGUUUUCUGUGCUAAGUACCACUCACUUUAGACUGGGAAUGAAAUGAAAAUGGAGGAGGGGCAGGGCAUAUCUAUUUCACUCUAUUACUGCCCUUUGCUUCUUUUGCGACAUGCAUUAGCAUCACCCAGAAUGACCCACCGACAAAUAGUCAAAUUGAUUUCAUUCAACUUUGAUGCAGGAGGUUGCAACUACUCCCUUAUUGGAUGGGGGAAAAAAAAGGUCCAAUCCAGGAGAAAAAUGCAACUAGUGACUCACAUCGCAUCCUUAUGUUACAUAAGCAACCACUGUGGAGCCGAAUCUUGCAUGCACAGCUUGUCCAAUAAACAGCGUGCAUGAAUGAAUAACAUUAAACGAGCUGGGCCGAUAAGCCACCCCCUCGUUGCGUGCUGGUCUUCCAUUCAAAUGCGUCUUUUUGCGCGGGGAAUUGAUGAGGCACACGGCUCAAAGCUAAAGUCUUCAAAGGCUGCCUUUCCACAAGAUGCAAGGCGUCCAACCCACUUUGUAGUUCCUAGGUGAACGCGUGGGUUGCAGCUCGCCAGGCAGCACAGGAAGACAAUAAAUCUUCAAUAAAAUAAAAGUUCCUCCAAGGUUACAUCUCAUGCAAAGGAGAAGAAAACUGUUUUUUUUCAACUCUUUAUUUAUUUUUUUUCUGCCCCCGAAUUAUCGACACAGUGGGCGUCGGGAAUGCUUCAGUCAUGUUCCAAGGUUACGGUCUCCUUCAUCGCUCACAUAAAAACAAAGCCGGCGUGGGAGAAAGAGAGAAGAGCCGAGGGAGAGCGACGCUCAGAGAUAAGGAGAUGAUGGUAUAAUAGCGCAAGUUUCAUCACAGUCAAACGCAGACGGAGGGGGGGUGACAUCCAGCCUCAAAAAGAAAUGAUUUCAAAGAGCAUUUCAUCCCAGAUUAUUGCACGGAGACAUGUUCUGCAACUAGAAAAGUGGCUUCUAUUUUUUAAGACUGCCGUCUUGCUGAUUGAAGGCAGACGAGAUGAAGGCUUGCUUGGAUCAAAGCAUCGCUACAUUACCAUCAGGGGCCAUUUAUAGACAUCACUUUUAACUGCAAAUGGACACAAAAUGUGAGGCAUGGGGCCACUUGUCUACACAAGAACACAUUUUAAAGCCUGGAAAAAGAAAAAAUGGAUCUCAUGUGUAAAAAAUGUAUGGGUAUUUCCAGACGAGUUGACAAGUUGAAGCGUUAGCAUUUUCUCUGCAAUAAGACUCGAGAAGAUUGCUUUUUUUUAUAGAUGCUUUGUCACCUGUACAAUCUUUCCUGACUCUUGUCUAAGUUUAAUAAAUUAAAUUACAUUGACUUUACAACUCUGCAUCAACAUUUAAAGCUAAUAACUGAAUAACCACAAAUUUCUCACCCAAUCAUCCAAUAGUGGACCACAACGCUGCUGAACAACAGGUCGUAUCAUCAUUUUUCUCCAGAAACGUUUACUAUUCUGACUAUUGCGACUAGCUGACCAGAUGCAUUUCUUACAUUCACCAAAUAUUAAAGCCACUCAUCAUGUAAA